UACGUCCAAUCGUUAAUGGUGGUUGGAUAUUUAACCCGAGUCAUUUGGCACAGUAUCAUCACAAUCUAAAACUAAGGCAGAAGUGAAGUUAAAUCGAAGUAGAAGAAGGUAGUAGAAGCAGAAAAAUAUUGCUCGAACGAAAUGGCAACCAAAUCGUUUACCUUAUUAGCUUGCGUUCUUCUCGUCCUGGUGCUAUUCGUAACCAAGUCUGAUGCUAUUGGGAACGGACCUCCAAGAAGUUGCCCAAAAGGGUCGGCGUGGUGUUAUAACGGGAACAUCAGGACGGUCAGAGAGGACAAUGCCCUUCGAGCCAAACGCCAGUUGUGUGACGCUGCUGCACUCAUGGGUUGUAGAAUUGAACACUAACUGACGCUAAUAUAAGUGCAAACAAAAAGUUAAACAACCAGCAGUCUUGAAAAUUACGGAAAUUGAAGAAAUAUGGAAGAUGAAAGAAGACAUGACUGACAUUAUUCAAAAUAUGUAGUACAAGAUCGUUAACAGUGCGAAUUAAAAUGAAUAAAAUUAUGUUCCUA